ACUGGAGAGGUGUGCUAGAUUACUUGAAUACCGCGCAUUAAACAGCUGAUAAUUCUGGUAGUUCCCAAGAAUUCAUUCGCACGCUUAUACUCAGCAUGUGAGACAAUUAUUUAGAAAAUGCUGUAGAUUGUGUGAGCUACCAAACACAUAUGUUGGUACUUGAUUCCAAUUUCCAAGCAGAUUUGAAUGCUGCCAGUUCAUUAUUUUGACUAGAGGCUGC
rnacentral:lncRNA from 1 species